rnacentral:rRNA from 1 species
AGAGUUUGAUCAUGGCUCAGGACGAACGCUGGCGGCGUGCCUAACACAUGCAAGUGGAGCGACGACCCGGGCUUCGGCCCGGUGCAAAGCCGCGAACGGGUGAGUAACACGUGGGUAACCUGCCCUGAUGAUUGGGACAACCCGAGGAAACUCGGGCUAAUACCGAAUGUGCCCUCCGGCCGUAAGGCCUCUGGGGAAAGGAAGCUUCGGCCUCCGCAUUGGGAUGGGCCCGCGGCCCAUUAGCUUGUUGGUGAGGUAACGGCUCACCAAGGCGACGAUGGGUAGCUGGUCUGAGAGGACGAUCAGCCACACUGGGACUGAGACACGGCCCAGACUCCUACGGGAGGCAGCAGUGGGGGAAUCUUGCGCAAUGCGCGAAAGCGUGACGCAGCAACGCCGCGUGGGGGAAGAAGGCCUUCGGGUUGUAAACCCCUUUCAGUUGGGACGAAGCUCCGGCGGUGAAUAGCCGUCUGGAGUGACGGUACCUUCAGAAGAAGCCCCGGCUAACUACGUGCCAGCAGCCGCGGUAAUACGUAGGGGGCAAGCGUUGUCCGGAAUCAUUGGGCGUAAAGAGCGUGUAGGCGGCUUGGUAAGUCCGCUGUGAAAGUCCAGAGCUCAACCCUGGAAUGCCGGUGGAAACUGUCAAGCUUGAGUCCGGAAGAGGCGAGUGGAAUUCCUGGUGUAGCGGUGAAAUGCGCAGAUAUCAGGAGGAACACCAAUGGCGAAGGCAGCUCGCUGGGACGGUACUGACGCUGAGACGCGAAAGCGUGGGGAGCAAACAGGAUUAGAUACCCUAGUAGUCC